rnacentral:rRNA from 1 species
UACGUAGGGGGCAAGCGUUGUCCGGAAUCAUUGGGCGUAAAGAGCGUGUAGGCGGCCCGGUAAGUCCGCUGUGAAAGUCCAGGGCUCAACCCUGGGAUGCCGGUGGAUACUGUCGGGCUCGAGUCCGGAAGAGGAGUGUGGAAUUCCUGGCGUAGCGGUGAAAUGCGCAGAUAUCAGGAGGAACACCGGUGGCGAAGGCGGGUCUCUGGGCCGAUACUGACGCUGAGGAGCGAAAGCGUGGGGAGCGAACAGG